GUAGAUGUGGCUGGUGACGGAGGAGAUGAACUUGGCCUUGUAGAGGUUGCCGUCAGUCCACCGGAGCUCCACCAGCUCCCCCUCGGAAGGGGGUCCCAGCUGGACACAGUCCCUACUCGUGAUGCUCUCAGGGUACAGGUUGUCGCUGUAGGAGCCAUCGUCGAAGUUCACUUCGUAGCAGGUCUGCGAGGCGGCACCGAUGACGCGACAGCGGUAGUACAGCCCGUUGCGGUUCUUGGUGAUGACCACCUGGCCUAGGGACACGGCCCUCAGGAGUUGG
rnacentral:lncRNA from 1 species